rnacentral:rRNA from 1 species
CAGCAGCCACGGGAAUACGAAGGGGGCUAGCGUUGCUCGGAAUGACUGGGCGUAAAGGGCGCGUAGGCGGUUAAACAAGUUAGAUGUGAAAUUCCUGGGCUUAACCUGGGGGCUGCAUUUGAUACUGGUUGGCUUGAGUUCGGAAGAGGGUUGUGGAAUUCCCAGUGUAGAGGUGAAAUUCGUAGAUAUUGGGAAGAACACCGGUGGCGAAGGCGGCGACCUGGUUCAUAACUGACGCUGAGGCGCGAAAGCGUGGGGAGCAAACAGGAUUAGAUACCCCUGUAGUCCCUGUCUCUUAUAA